GCCUGGGUGGCUCAGUCACUUAAGUGUCUGACUUCAGCUCAGGUUAUGAUCUCAUGGUUUGUGGGUUCGAGCCCCAUAUCAGGCU
rnacentral:tRNA from 1 species